AACGAACGCUGGCGGCGUGGAUAAGACAUGCAAGUCGAACGGGAGUUUAUUUAUAGCAAUAUGAGUGAACUCUAGUGGCGAAAGGGUGCGUAACACGUAGCUACCUACCUCGAAGUUGGGGAUAGCUCGGCGAAAGCCGGAUUAAUACCGAAUGUGAUCGUGAGAUUAAAGCUGGGGAUCGUAAGACCUGGCGCUUUGAGA
rnacentral:rRNA from 1 species